rnacentral:rRNA from 1 species
GACGAACGCUGGCGGCGUGCUUAACACAUGCAAGUCGAACGGAGAGGCCCUGCUUUUGUGGGGUGCUCGAGUGGCGAACGGGUGAGUAACACGUGAGUAACCUGCCCUUGACUUUGGGAUAACUUCAGGAAACUGGGGCUAAUACCGGAUAGGAGCUCCUGCUGCAUGGUGGGGGUUGGAAAGUUUCGGCGGUUGGGGAUGGACUCGCGGCUUAUCAGCUUGUUGGUGGGGUAGUGGCUUACCAAGGCUUUGACGGGUAGCCGGCCUGAGAGGGUGACCGGCCACAUUGGGACUGAGAUACGGCCCAGACUCCUACGGGAGGCAGCAGUGGGGAAUAUUGCACAAUGGGCGGAAGCCUGAUGCAGCAACGCCGCGUGCGGGAUGACGGCCUUCGGGUUGUAAACCGCUUCCGCCUGUGACGAAGCGUGAGUGACGGUAAUGGGUAAAGAAGCACCGGCUAACUACGUG